GUUUUUAAAAAAAGUAGCUGUUCGGUGACGGCUUCGCUUUUACUUCUCAAACCCAAACACACACACUCUCUCUCUCUCUCCAAUCUCCAUUGCCCAAUCGACGUUUUCUCCAGCCUCUUAAGAGAGCCAUUCCGGCGAAGAGUCGAUCGAACAUGGCUUCUUUUCGGGCAUUCUUGAACAGUCCGGUUGGCCCGAAAACAACUUACUUUUGGGGACCUGUUGCCAAUUGGGGAUUCGUCGCUGCUGUAUGCGCUGCUUCCAUGAUUCUUUAUUAUUAUUUUAAGUUCAUAUGUGGAUUUUUUGUUUCCAGGUUCCAACUAUCGUAUUUGACGGAUUUCUGAAACUUAUGCCUUGCGGAUUUGACAUGGUUUAGCGGACAUGAAGAAACCCCCGGAAAUGAUUUCGGCAAUGUGCAUCUACUCGGCAUUGUUCAUGAGAUUUGCGUGGAUGGUACAGCCCCGCAACUAUCUACUCCUGACAUGUCAUGCCUCGAACGAGACUGUGCAGCUCUAUCAAUUCUCACGAUGGGCAAAGGGUCAGGGGUACUUGUCUGAGAAGAAAGACAAACCUGCAUCUCAGUAACCUAAUGCUAACGUCUUUUGCUUACCCGUUCUACCGAUUUCAUGUUCAAAUAAAUAUGAUUGUUGAUGUUGAAAUCAUGUUCAAAUAAA